GCCUGGGUGGCUCAGUAGUUGAGCAUCUGCCUUCAGCUCAGGUCAUGAUCCUGGGGUCCUGGGAUCCAGUCCCUCUCAGGCA
rnacentral:tRNA from 1 species